AAAACAAUAAGUGGGCCAUCUCAUCUCAUCUCCAAUGAUGGUCUCCGGAGGAAUGGUUGCAGUGCAGUCUUUGUGUCCUAUGCAGGUCUGUUGCAUGUUGGCGGCUGAUGCUGGUUCAAUAUUUGCACCAAGAAGCAUAUCAUGCAUACCCUCUGUUGUGAGACAGGUACCCAGGUGACCGACAGCCAUGGCCACAUUCAGCUGCACAGCUAGCUCUUCAUCCCCUGCCAGAUCUUCUCACCUCUUCGUAAAGCUUUUCUUGGUGACUGGUAUAGUGGCGUUUCUUAAUCGGAUGGAAAGGAUCCAUGCCAGGCCUUGUUUUUCGUCCCCAUGCUGAUUCCAGUCCAGUGAACCAUCACAGUCUGGAAACUUAUAGCUGUCAGGUCUUAUAAGAGAAACUCCAUUCUUUGAUGACUGAUGGAAAAGCCUCAUCAUCCCCCAUCUUUAUCUUUAAUCACCAGCCAUUCAUCAGUGAUCAGUGUUACCAAAGCUCCAAGGUUUUCAAAAGACGACAAAGAGAAUUUAAGACAAAUUAUUGAAAACUUUAAGGCAGCAAAUGAGGAGGAUAGCUUUUAUCUUGAUAUAUCAGGAACUGAAGAAUUCCUCUUUGUUGGGCAGACAGAGUCUCAGAAAAGGCUCCUUAAAAUGUAUGGCCAGGAAAUAUUGCCUUUUAGAUGCCAACUACAAUACUACCAAGUACAAUUUGCCUGCCUUUUUUGUAUGUGUGAACACAAACGUUGGCUAUUCCACCAUUGGAUGCUUCAUUACUGCAGAUGAAACAAAAGCUUCCAUCAAAAGAGGUCUGCAGUAUUUGAAGCAGUGGAAUGCAAACUGGGAUCCCAAAUUCUUCAUGACUGACUUUGAUACGUCAGAAAUAGGUGCUCUAGAGGAAACUUUCCCAGGCUAAGUUUGGUAAGUUACCAUCAACUAGAUUAAGAUUUGUACAGAUGUGGGCUUUUUGUCUCGUGUGCUCCUAUCCAAACACCUUCUUAAAAAUUCUUUGAUCAUUCAUCAUUUUUCAUUUUUCCAUCAUAAAAUCACAUAUAGCUAGUAUAAUCAGAUAAGAUCAAUCAUGGUAUUUUGAAGUAAUUUAACACAUGUAUUUUCCUAACUUCACUUCACUUACAACUCAUAAUAACCACAUACAUGUGCUAAAUGCAAAUUUGUGUAUCAAUUUUGC